GACGAACGCUGGCGGCGUGCUUAACACAUGCAAGUCGAACGAAGAGCGAUGGAAGCUUGCUUCUAUCAAUCUUAGUGGCGAACGGGUGAGUAACGCGUAAUCAACCUGCCCUUCAGAGGGGGACAACAGUUGGAAACGACUGCUAAUACCGCAUACGAUCUAAUCUCGGCAUCGAGGAUAGAUGAAAGGUGGCCUCUACAUGUAAGCUAUCACUGAAGGAGGGGAUUGCGUCUGAUUAGCUAGUUGGAGGGGUAACGGCCCACCAAGGCGAUGAUCAAUAGCCGGUCUGAGAGGAUGAACGGCCACAUUGGGACUGAGACACGGCCCAGACUCCUACGGGAGGCAGCAGUGGGGAAUCUUCCGCAAUGGACGAAAGUCUGACGGAGCAACGCCGCGCGAGUGAUGACGGCCUUCGGGUUGUAAAGCUCUGUUAAUCGGGACGAAAGGCCUUCUUGCGAAUAUUGAGAA
rnacentral:rRNA from 1 species